AAUGAUGUUGGCAGAGGGCCUUAUUUUCUACCCUCAUCUGUGUUGGGAGAGGGAAGACAUUCUCAUUUGAAUGGAUGAUGAUGGUCACAGCCCAGUUUUGUUUCUGAAGACAAGCUUGCCCUGUGUGUUGACUCUCCCUCAGUAAAAUACAGAAAUAAGAAUGUUUCCCAUGGGAGCUCUGAAUUGGGCUUCUUGCAUCAAUGUAAGAAAUCUGUUGCUACGUUGAAGAAAAUGACAAUGGAAAAGAUUCCAGAGCCAGCUCCCGACAGGAUGACAGAUGAUGAACCCAAAGAAUCCACGGUGGCCAAAGGGAAAUGGGUCUUUAAUAAAAUGUUAGAGCCCAUGAUUAUGCAUUCUGCAUGUCGGGACCCAGCAUGCUUCUGUGCCAGAAUCAAUUUGUCCAGGAAAGAAUAGACAGAGGAAUAUAUUGGGAAAGAAAAGGAGAGACUGGGAUAAUUAGAGUCUCUGAUCUGCCACCAUCUCCUGACUGGAUUUCAACAAACCACCCUACUUACUUAUCUGGAGGUUUUAUCAUCCUUUUUUUUUUAAUCAAAUAGAAUAUGAAUGUAUUGGACUAGAUGACCCCUAAGGUCUUCUCUAGCUCUAACAGACUAUGAGUUACAUCUAGAGGUUAACCUACUUCACAGGCCACUUGCAAAUUGCCAGCAUUAGGUUCUGGCUAAGUGCCACCUAGUCAGCAAUCCUUCCACUUAAGUGCCAUGCUUCUGGCUAAAUCAUAACUUGAAAGUAAAAGC
rnacentral:lncRNA from 1 species